CCUACGGGAGGCAGCAGUGAGGAAUAUUGGUCAAUGGACGAGAGUCUGAACCAGCCAAGUAGCGUGAAGGAUGACUGCCCUAUGGGUUGUAAACUUCUUUUAUAUGGGAAUAAAACGUUCCACGUGUGGGAUUUUGUAUGUACCAUAUGAAUAAGGAUCGGCUAAAUCCGUGCCAGCAGCCGCGGUAAUACGGAGGAUCCGAGCGUUAUCCGGAUUUAUUGGGUUUAAAGGGAGCGUAGGUGGAUUGUUAAGUCAGUUGUGAAAGUUUGCGGCUCAACCGUAAAAUUGCAGUUGAAACUGGCAGUCUUGAGUACAGUAGAGGUGGGCGGGAUUCGUGGUGUAGCGGUGAAAUGCUUAGAUAUCACGAAGAACUCCGAUUGCGAAGGCAGUUCACUGGACUGCAACUGACACUGAGGCUCGAAAGUGUGGGUAUCAAACAGGAUUAGAUACCCUAGUAGUC
rnacentral:rRNA from 1 species